GAUGAACGCUGGCGGCGUGCCUAAUACAUGCAAGUCGAGCGAACGGACGAGAAGCUUGCUUCUCUGAUGUUAGCGGCGGACGGGUGAGUAACACGUGGAUAACCUACCUAUAAGACUGGGAUAACUUCGGGAAACCGGAGCUAAUACCGGAUGAUAUUUUGAACCGCAUGGUUCAAAAGUGAAAGACGGUCCUGCUGUCACUUAUAGAUGGAUCCGCGCUGCAUUAGCUAGUUGGUAAGGUAACGGCUUACCAAGGCAACGAUGCAUAGCCGACCUGAGAGGGUGAUCGGCCACACUGGAACUGAGACACGGUCCAGACUCCUACGGGAGGCAGCAGUAGGGAAUCUUCCGCAAUGGGCGAAAGCCUGACGGAGCAACGCCGCGUGAGUGAUGAAGGUCUUCGGAUCGUAAAACUCUGUUAUUAGGGAAGAACAUAUGUGUAAGUAACUGUGCACAUCUUGACAGUACCUAAUCAGAAAGCCACGGCUAACUACGUG
rnacentral:rRNA from 1 species